GGAUGCGAUCAUACCAGCACUAAAGCACCGGAUCCCAUUAGAACUCCGAAGUUAAGCGUGCUUGGGCGAGAGUAGUACUAGGAUGGGUGACCUCCUGGGAAGUCCUCGUGUUGCUUUUC
rnacentral:rRNA from 1 species